rnacentral:rRNA from 1 species
UGAACGCUGGCGGCAUGCCUUACACAUGCAAGUCGAACGGCAGCACGGGUGCUUGCACCUGGUGGCGAGUGGCGAACGGGUGAGUAAUACAUCGGAACAUGUCCUGUAGUGGGGGAUAGCCCGGCGAAAGCCGGAUUAAUACCGCAUACGAUCUACGGAUGAAAGCGGGGGACCUUCGGGCCUCGCGCUAUAGGGUUGGCCGAUGGCUGAUUAGCUAGUUGGUGGGGUAAAGGCCUACCAAGGCGACGAUCAGUAGCUGGUCUGAGAGGACGACCAGCCACACUGGGACUGAGACACGGCCCAGACUCCUACGGGAGGCAGCAGUGGGGAAUUUUGGACAAUGGGCGAAAGCCUGAUCCAGCAAUGCCGCGUGUGUGAAGAAGGCCUUCGGGUUGUAAAGCACUUUUGUCCGGAAAGAAAUCCUUGGCUCUAAUACAGUCGGGGGAUGACGGUACCGGAAGAAUAAGCACCGGCUAACUACGUGCCAGCAGCCGCGGUAAUACGUAGGGUGCGAGCGUUAAUCGGAAUUACUGGGCGUAAAGCGUGCGCAGGCGGUUUGCUAAGACCGAUGUGAAAUCCCCGGGCUCAACCUGGGAACUGCAUUGGUGACUGGCAGGCUAGAGUAUGGCAGAGGGGGGUAGAAUUCCACGUGUAGCAGUGAAAUGCGUAGAGAUGUGGAGGAAUACCGAUGGCGAAGGCAGCCCCCUGGGCCAAUACUGACGCUCAUGCACGAAAGCGUGGGGAGCAAACAGGAUUAGAUACCCUGGUAGUCCACGCCCUAAACGAUGUCAACUAGUUGUUGGGGAUUCAUUUCCUUAGUAACGUAGCUAACGCGUGAAGUUGACCGCCUGGGGAGUACGGUCGCAAGAUUAAAACUCAAAGGAAUUGACGGGGACCCGCACAAGCGGUGGAUGAUGUGGAUUAAUUCGAUGCAACGCGAAAAACCUUACCUACCCUUGACAUGGUCGGAAUCCCGCUGAGAGGUGGGAGUGCUCGAAAGAGAACCGGCGCACAGGUGCUGCAUGGCUGUCGUCCGCUCGUGUCGUGAGAUGUUGGGUUAAGUCCCGCAACGAGCGCAACCCUUGUCCUUAGUUGCUACGCAAGAGCACUCUAAGGAGACUGCCGGUGACAAACCGGAGGAAGGUGGGGAUGACGUCAAGUCCUCAUGGCCCUUAUGGGUAGGGCUUCACACGUCAUACAAUGGUCGGAACAGAGGGUUGCCAACCCGCGAGGGGGAGCUAAUCCCAGAAAACCGAUCGUAGUCCGGAUUGCACUCUGCAACUCGAGUGCAUGAAGCUGGAAUCGCUAGUAAUCGCGGAUCAGCAUGCCGCGGUGAAUACGUUCCCGGGUCUUGUACACACCGCCC